UACGGGGGGAGCAAGCGUUGUUCGGAUUUACUGGGCGUAAAGGGCGCGUAGGCGGCCACCGCAAGUCGAUUGUGAAAUCUCCGGGCUUAACCCGGAAAGGUCAACCGAUACUGCGGGGCUAGAGUGCAGAAGGGGCAACUGGAAUUCUCGGUGUAGCGGUGAAAUGCGUAGAUAUCGAGAGGAACACCUGCGGCGAAGGCGGGUUGCUGGGCUGACGCUGACGCUGAAGUGCGAAAGCUAGGGGAGCGAACGGG
rnacentral:rRNA from 1 species